CUUAUCCAAGCUAAAUGGGCUGGCAGAACCUUAGAUAAGCGAAUAUCUUGGAUAAUAAGGAGGGAUUAAGGAAAAGCCUAUUAAACAUCAAAUUAGGUAAUGAUUUUACAAAUUAAGCACCAAAUAAUCAUGUUAUACAACAAAUUUUACAGAAAAAGUAGUUCAAUGCGCAGUAAUGUUAUGUUGUAAUUACUGUAUUUAUGAAUUUAGCACCAAAAUAUUAUGAUAUAUUGAAAAUAUUGACUACAAAAAUGGCUUGGAUAAUCCAGAACCUUGGAUAAGCGGAGCUUGGAUAAGCGAGACUCUAUUGUAUAUACAAUAUAUUAUAUAAUUAGUAUAGCAUAAUAUUAGUAUUAUAUAGUAUUAUAUUGUUAUAUUGACACAGGAGACAUGGUGGAAUGGUGUCUUCCUGGCCGCCCUUCUUCACUCUGGCCCCAGAGUGGCAGCUAGUCCUUGGGGGGAGGGGCUAACAUGCUGGCAAAGCAUCUUAAAUCUAUAUUAUAAUGGGAAUAAAAAAAGCUAGAAUAAAUAAAAGCUUAUGGUAUAAACCAUAGAAAGAAGGAGGUCUUGGACUUCCACAUCUCAAGAUGUAUUAUAACUCCAUUCAAAUAAAACAUAUAGUAGAAAGCUUUGCAAAACAAAAGAUUAGCCUUGCAGCUUCUAAGCUUGGCUGUAUCCUUCCUGGGAGAAUGAAUGUUAUGAGCAGAAAGAUGGAGUAGCCAUGGGGAGCCCUCUCAGCCUGGUCAUAACACAUUUCUACAUGGAACUCUUUGAAAAACAAGCCCUGGAAACAGCAACAAAAGAGCCCACUAUAUCAGUGGUUCUCGGCCUGGGGUCCCCAGAUGUUUUUGGCCUUCAAUUCCCAGAAUCCUAACUGCUGGUAAACUGGCUGGGAUUUCUGGGAGUUGUAGGCCAAAAACAUCUGGGGACCCCAGGUUGAGAAUCACUGCACUAUAUGGUUCAGAUAUGUGGAUGACACCUUCACCAUUUGGAGCCAUGGAAAAAAAGAACUAAAUAAGUUCCUGGACCAUUUCAACAGCAUCCACCCAAACAUCCAUGUGGAAAAAGAAAAUGAAGGAAAACUGCCUUUUUUAGAUGUCUUCGUCAUCUGUAAACCCAAUCAACAAUUGGGCUACACAGUUUACAGAAAACUUACAGAGAUAGAUAUCUACAUAAAAACUCCAACCAUCACCCAAGUCAAAAAAGAAGCACAAUCAAAGCCCUGGCAAACCAUGCAAAAAGAAUAUGCAAACCCCACCUCAACCAAGAUGAAUGGAAGCACCUCAACUGGGCUCUGCAGGCCAAUGGAUACUCCACUAUAGACAUCAGAAGAGCUGCAAGACCAAGAAGAAGCCACAGAGAGUAAAGACAACGAUUCCCCCAGAGGAAAAGUGUUCUUACCAUAUAUCAAGGGAACCACUGACCGCAUAGGGAAGCUGAUGAAGAACCUACAAACCUACAAACUAUCUACAGACCCACAAAGAAAAUCCAACAAAUACUACAUUUAACAAAGGGCAAGAGGGAUCCUUUCACCCCUGCAGGAGUCUACCAUAUACCAUGCAGCUGUGGACAAGUCUAGGGACCGCCAAAUGCAUUGCCCAAACAUGAGUCAAGGAACAUGAAAGGCACUGCAGACUAACUCAACCUGAGAAGUCAGCCAUAGCAGAGCACUUUAUGAACCAACCUGGACACAGCAUAUUAUUUGAGAAUACAGAAAUGCUGGACCACUCUAACAGCCACCAGGUCAGACUACACAAAGAAGUCAUUGACAUCCACAAACAUGUGGACAUUUUCAACAGACAGGAGGAAACCAUGAGAAUAAACAAAAUCUGGCUACUGGUAUUAAAAAUCUCUUAAAUCAGGACAGUACAUAAAGAACAACAUUCAAAAACAGGGGAAUUCAAGACAAAAAACAAUCAGGGCCAGCUAACACCACUCAACAAAGGAUUCCCCCAGGCAGGAAGCAGCCAAACUUAGAAGCUGCAAGGCUAUUCAAUGCUAAUGAAGGUGAUCAAUAGCAACAUUCACACCUGCCUCAAGCAGACAAGAGUUCUUUCUCCCACUUUGGACAUUCUACAGAUAUAUAAACCCCACUUGACUAGUUUUCAACAAACCUCACAACCUCUGAGGAUGCCUGCCAUAGAUGUGGGUGAAAUGUCAGGAGAGAAUGCUUCUAGAACAUGUCCAUACAGCCCGGAAAAAUCGCAGCAACCCUGUCAUACUAUUGCUUGUUCCUGGGUUAUAAAUGUCAUUUCCUAAUUGGUUCUAUCAUAAAUACAUGGAAAAGUUUAUUAAACUGCAAAAAAUUUGCUAUAGUUUUUCAAUGAAUAUCUCAGAGAGUCUCAACCUAUUCAACGUAGUUCAUUGCAGCCACAAAAAUGAAGUUUCUGGAGUACAACAUCUACUUUCAAAGUAAGUACUGUUGUAAAUUUACAUACAACAUUCUUCAAGCCUCCUCUAGUAAUGUGUUAAUCUAUGAUUUUGUUUGUUUACUGUUUUGUAUGUGUGUGUGUGUGUGUAUAUAUAUAUAUAUAUAUAUAUAUAUAUAUAUAUAUAUAUAUAUAUAUGCAGCUUCUUUUGCUCUAUGUUUCCUGAGAGGUUAUGGGAGGGACUGCAGACCACAUGAUCUGAUCUGAGACUGCUCAGACCUCAGACUCCAUUUUAGAUUCUUCUUAGACUUUGGGACUGCUCAGACCAACACAUGCUUGCUUGAGGUUUGUAAGAAAGAUGCCCUGUACCACCUGCACAGAGAAACUAUCUCAAACAUAUCUGAAACUGGACUGAUAAGCUGAACACAUGAAGGUUGUGAGUAAACCAAAUAUGUUAUUUUAUCAAAGCCUACUUCAUUUUUGUCUCUUGAGUGCAUGAUAUAAAACUAGUUGUUUUAUGGGAGAGUAGAUAUGUAUUUUAGGCAUUGAAAAACUCUUCUGAAACUCUGCUGUUUUAUGCACUGGAAAAUCUCUGUUUUCCUAACAAAUCAGAAAUAUGUUCAAGCUAACAACUGAAGACAUUGCCUUACAUACUACAUCUGGUUGAAUACCAUAUGAGAAGAUUCUACUCAAACAGGUUUUUGACUCUUCUCUAAAAGAUUAAACUUUUCCAAAAGGUUAUGAUCGCCAAAUGGGUGGGAAUGCAAUUUUCCAAAAAGUACUGCGCAAUUUAACAGGAAACAACACUUUCAAACCAGGAACAGAACAGUUUUCAUUUUUUGUUACAUAGUGUAAUGUGUUGUGUGCCUUCAAGUUACCCUUCCCUUACUUUCCCUUACUUUGAGGCUGAGAGAGUGUGGCCUGCCCAAAUUCAACAAAGAGAUUUCCAAGCCUGAUGGCAACUUGAACCCUUGGCUCCUGGCUACAAUACUCAAAGCAUUAGUCCUUGCUGGAUCUCUCUAGUUUGAGAUGGUCUAUAAAAGAAGUGUUGACUCCACUGAAUGAAAGAGUUCUGUUGGCAUGCUUUCUAUCUUCUGGGUUUCAGAGAGUGUGACUUGCUCAAGACCACUCAGAAGGCUUUCAUGACUGAGGCCCCUUCUACACUGUCAUAUAAAAUCCAGAUUAUUUUAUUUGAACUGAAUUAUAUGGCUGUAUAAACACAUAUAAUCCAGUUCAAAGCAAAUAAUGUAGAUGAUGUGUUUUGAUAAUUUGGAUUAUAUGGCAGUGCAGAAGGGGCCUGAGACGAGAUUUGAACCCUGAUCUUCUGAGUCCUAGUCCAACACAAUCAACUACACCACAUUGCUUCUCUGCAAAAUAAUGUAGCAUAAAUACUAAAGUUCCGAGGUAAUAAAAAUAUAGCACAACACACUUAGACUUACAUUGCUCUACAUUCCAGGAUCUGAUCCCAGAUAAUCUGUUUAUCCCAUAUUAUUAUUAGAUUCAUAUCAAGUUCAAAGCAGAUAUUCUGGGAUCAGAUAAAGGGAUAUAGGACAAUAUAGAUCCAGUCCCACUCAACAGUGGCCUUAAGGCUGUCCUCUCAUACAUACUUUUGACUAGAGAAAAAAGAUUUAACUUCAUUGGUCUUGUUUCUUUAUAACACAAAGAAUUGUACUGUCCAACAAUGUUCUACGUCCUUUUGUCUAGGUCAGUGCUUCUCAACCUGUGGGUACCCAGAUGUUUUGGCCUUCAACUCCUAGAAAUCCUAACAGCUGGUAAACUGGCUGGGAUUUCUAGGAGUUAUAGGCCAAAACACCUGGGGACCCACAGUUUGAGAACCACUGGUCUAGAUUCUACAGUGAUUUUAAUGUUGAUGGUAUUUAUAAGCAAUAUCUUAACAACCUAUUUCCAAAAUAAUGAGUGGUGCCAAACAGCAGGUUAGUAGACAAGGACUUGUUUGUUUCUGUAGACUUAAUGAGAAAAGAGAUCACUCUUUUAAAGAAUAGUGUUUAACAUUUUGUCCCUUUACAAUGAGUUUGUUGUUUUUGAUUAAAUUCGAUUUUCACAGGCAAAGUUAAUGACUAUUGUGUUUGGUUCCAUGCCAUUAGAUUCGGACAGCCAAAUAAUAGCAUGGCGAUUUUUACAGGUGAGUUUUCUGCUGGAGCGAGUCUUACUGCAACCCCACUGAGAUACCACAGGGCUUUCUCUGUAGCAGCACUUCGACGGUGGAACUCCCAGCCAGUGGAAGUUAAGCUUCUCCCACCUCUUCUGCAUUAAAAAGGUGUUGUUCUGCAAGACCCUUCGGCUUUAAAAUUGUUCUGCUCAUAUCGUUUUAAAUUAUUUUAAAGGAGUAUUUAAACAAGGUAUCUCUGUAUUCUUUUUUGAUGCUUUUGUCCAUUGCAUGCAUUGUCUCGAAGGCCCUGAUGGGCUGAGAGGCAUUAUCUAUAUCUCUAUCUAUCUAUCUAUCUAUCUAUCUAUCUAUCUAUCUAUCUAUCUAUCUAUCUAUCUAUAUGUAGUGUGCGCUUCUCCCAUGGAGCCAACAACAAAACUAUUGAGCCAAAUCAUACCAAAUUUGGCCGCAAAAGACAUAGUCAUCCAAUCUAUGUCUUUCAAUAAAAGAACCUAGAAAAAUAAAUUCCAAAUUACAGAGGACGAGGAAGAGUCGUUCUCCCUCUGGCUGCCAGUCAGAAGGAUAAGGCCCUGUCUUCUUUAGGCCCUACCUCCUAGACCCCAUCCCUUCAUGUCAUAGCAACCCCCUCAGCCACAAUGCCACUCGGGGGACAGGCAGCUUUCACUUAGGCCUCUUUGACACUGCUUAUAAAAUACAGAUUAUCUGAUUUGAAUUGGCUUAUAUGGCAGUGUAGACUCAAGUCCCUUCCACACAGCUAUAUAACGCAGAAUGCCAAGGUAGAUAAUCCAAAAUAUCUGCUUUGAACUGGAUUAUCUUGAGCCCACACGGCCAUAUAAUCCAGUUCAGUGUGGAUUUUAUACAGUUGUGUAGAAGGGCCCUCAUAUUUGAAGCUUUGAAGCUGAAAAGCCAUUAUGUGCUAAUCAUUCUGGCUAAUUGCAGCAUUCAUACUUGCCUCCAACAGACAUCAUCAACAACAAUAGCAACAACAGCAACAACAGCAACAGCACUUUAUUUAUAUUCUGCCCUAUCUCCCCAAGGGGACUCAGGAUGGAUCACAGAACACAUACAUGGCAAACAUUCAAUGCUGUUCAGACAGACAAACAGAACAGGCAGAAGUGAGGUAUGUUGUAUUGAGGUUUAGCUUCAGUGUCUUUGAGGUUGUACGAGGAUUCAGCUACAGUAGGGUGCUUUUGCUCUGUUCUCUAUGACUAAAAGCCAUCAGGACUUCCUCUUUCUUUAUGGUGACUGGCAUUUCUGGUCUUUUACUUUUAUGGUGUCAUAAAAUACCUCCCCCACUUAAUUAGCGGUACCUAAUUUCUCUACUUACAGCUCUAAGCUGUUUUCGAACUGCUUAGGUAAACAGUGAGCUGGGCUUGACAGUCGGGUGUUCACCCCGACUGGGCUUCGAACUGGCCACCUUUCGGUUGGUAGAUCUUAUUACUGCCGGUGAUUUACCAGCUGUGCUAACUCCCAGGCCCAAAAGACAAAAAAAGGAACAACCAGAAUUAUUGUAUAUUCACAAGCUUUAGGAAAUAACCUUAACUACCACCAAUUCCUCAAUACUUUAUUUCCCAUACCACCACACUUUGUCACAGCAACACUUGGCCAGGCACAGCUAGUGCCUUAUAUAAAUAAACAAUAAAUAUUUCAACUAGCAACUUGCAACUGCUAGGCAAGAUCCUGACAUGUAAGCCAUUAAAUCCAUCUGAUGACAAGUAGAAAGAUGAACAGCACAGUCUUAUAUUUCUUUACCUAAAACCCAAACCUGUUGUUUGAGGAGGCUUACUGCUAGGUGUAGUUUUAGGAUUGCUUCUAGGAUUUCAAGUAAGCAUCAGAACGAAAUGAAGUUCACAGGAAAUAAUUUCCCCGGUAGAUCAUGUCCACAAUACUCACGUAAAUCAUGUCAAGGGAUCAAAAUGCUUCAUAUCUACAGUAGAGUCUCACUUAUCCAACAUUCGCUUAUCCAACAUUCUGGAUUAUCCAACACAGUUUGCCUCCUGCCCCGAUCCACAGCUGUUUCUCUAGGCAGCAAGGAUUGAACUUUUUAUGGAUUGAUCAUGUUGCUACUGUAAGUUCGUUUUAUGCAAUUCUAUCUUUAUUUGUAGUCAGUGUGUUAGUAGCCAAUGCUUUUGUAGUCAAUGUUUUCAAUAUAUUGUGAUGUUUUGGUGCUAAAUUCAUAAAUACAGUAAUUGCUACAUAACAUUACCGUGUUUUGGGCUGCUCUUUCUGUCAAUUUGUUGUAAAACAUGAUGUCUUUGUAAAAUCAUAAUGUAAUUUGACAUUUAAUAGGCUUUUCCUUAAUCCCUCCUUAUUAUCCAACAUUUUUGCUUAUCCAACGUUCUGCCAGCCCGUUUAUGUUGGAUAAGUGAGAUUCUACUGUACUUCUGAAGUCUUCCUCAAUUUGAAACUCCCCUGGUGUGGACUAUAGUGCUCACAAUCCUCAAUCAGUAUGAUGAAUGUGGACAAUGGAUCCAACACCUAUAGAGUUUGUGGGUGUUGCUUUAGGGGUUGUGUUUAUGUGUGUGUCAAAUGGUAGGCCCUGUAUUUUUCUCUCCAUACAACAAUAAGGAGAUGCCAAAAUAACUUGCAGUAACUUGCAGAAUCCAAGACUUUCUGCAUCAUACAGUACAGCCCUUCAUGGCCUAUGGAUUCAGAUAUAAAUUCCAGUGGAAUGAAAGGGACUUAAUAAAUAUACCUGAAAUUGCUGCUGCUCAGUCAUUUAGUCGUCUCUGACUCUUCGUGACCUCAUGGACCAGUCCACGCCAGAGCUCCCUGUCGACUGUCACCGCCCCCAGUUCCUUCAAGGUCGACCCAGUCACUUCAAGGAUACCAUCCAUCCAUCUUGCCCUUGGUCGGCCUCUCUUCCUUUUUCCUUCCAUUUUCCCCAGCAUCGUGAUAUUUUCCAAGCUUUCCUGUCUCCUCAUGAUGUGCCCAAAAUACUUUAGCUUUGCCCUCCAGUGAGCAGCCGGGCAUUAUUUCCUGAAGGAUGGACUAGUUGGAUCUUCUUGCAGUCCAAGGCACUCUCAGGAUUUUCCUCCAGCACCAGAGUUCAAAAGUGUCUAUCUUCCUUUGCACAGCCUUCCUUAUGGUCCAGCUCUCGCUUCCAUAGGUUACUAUGGGGAAUACCAUUGCUUUGACUAUGGGGACCUUCGUUGCCAGUGUGAUGUCUCUGCUCUUCACUAUUUUGUCCAGAUUGGCCAUUGCUCUCCUCCCAAGAAGUAAACGUCUUCUGAUUUCCUGGCUGCAGUCUGCAUCUGCAGUGAUCUUAUGGCCAAGGGCCACAAAAAUAAAAUGAUUCACUUGUGACUUUGAGAACCCCCCUGUCAAUAUUACCAGUGACUGAGAGGGUUCGAGGAAUCCUAAUCCAAAAAGGGAGGAUAAAAAGGGAAUAUCAUUCUUAUUAGUCCCAAUAUCCUGCUCUGCUUAAAGAGAUCAGAGAUCCCCCAUUUGCAGAUCUGAGUUCUUCCACCUCCCUUUUCUUCCUCCUCCUUUUCUGCACACACAUUACAUUUCAGUCAUGCUUUGCAGCAGAACACGAUAUCCCCCAAAGAACCCAAACGAAAGAGAGAGAUACCCUGACAGCAACCAUUAGUUAAGAAAAAGCCCUCGCACAAGAGUAUCAGCACUAAUUAAGAUUCUGUUUAGCAGCCCUGGAUGGAAUGUUAAUGUAAGCAGGGAAGGGGGGUGAGGGAUGUUUUUUAAAGGCCCAGAAAACUCCUGCUUCUAAAGAGGAAUGCUGGGUUUGGGUGAUAACAUCUAUUGCUUGUGUCCAAGGUCUGCCCAAGCCUGUUAGAAAGUCAUUAUCUCAAAUUACUCCUGUACUUCAUUUUCUUUCCUUUCCUCCCUCUCCAGGGUUUGGGGCUGGGCUGAGCUCCCUUGGUGUUGCAGCCAGGCCUGGAGCCUUUGCAAAAACCAAUACUCUCUGAGGGGAAUGGAGAAGCUGAAUCGACCUUCUCUCUCUUUCUCUCUUUCUCUUUCACCUCCCUGCUGCCUUGGAACAUUUGGCUUGCUGUCCUUGCUCCUUGGACAAAUACAGCCCCAAAUUGCUGCAACCUGAUUAGGAUCUCUUUGCUGGCGUCUCAGCCUAAAAUCCCCAGGGCCUUUGCUGACCCUUUUGAAGCUCCUUCCUCUUUUGCUUACACAGAAGUUGACAUAAUUAAGGCAGGGUUUUACAAGGCUCAACAAGGCAAAUCUAGUCAGCUCCCAACACUCAACAUGUUGGAAGUGGGGGUGGAAGAAAAGCAGGGGGUGGAAAGGCCCAGGUUGAGCUGCUGUUCAUUGCAUGGCAGAAUUUUUCACCUUGCUCCUUUCUCUCAAAGGUGGUGAAGAGUAUAUUCAUAUUUAGUUAUUCCUUUUUAAACUGAGGGUUGCUUGAGUCAUAUAAACGAAGGCUGCUGCAUGCAGUUACGUUAUCAAACAUUUCAAGAUGUCAAAAUCUUUGAAAAUUGAUGCAAAAUGUGUUCCUGAGUGUCAGAAAAACUUGAUGAGAAGAAACCUGGAAUGAAGAGAAUCGUCACACUUAUUCUGCAUAAAAUUCACACAUGUCUUAUCUUUUCAGAAGCUGUUCUGGGUAAAAUAAAAACGUACACUCUCCUGUACUAAUUUGCUUUGAUAAAAUCUGUACCUCCUUUCCCACACAA